GUCGAGAAUAAUUCACUAUGGGGGGAACCCUGAUCCAGCCAUGCCGCGUGGAGGAAGACUGCCCUCUGGGUUGUAAACUCCUUUUAUAUGGGAAGAACCGUCCUCAUUAAUGAGUGACCUGACGGUACCAUAGGAAUAAGCACCGGCUAACUCCGUGCCAGCAGCCGCGGUAAUACGGAGGGUGCAAGCGUUAUCCGGAUUCACUGGGUUUAAAGGGUGCGUAGGCGGAUAAAUAAGUCAGUGGUGAAAUCAACGGGCUCAACCUGUUAACUGCCAUUGAUACUGUGUAUCUUGAAUAUGAGAGAGGUAGGCGGAAUGUUGCAUGUAGCGGUGAAAUGCUUAGAUAUGCUACGGAACACCGAUUGCGAAGGCAGCUUACUAUUUCGUAAUUGACGCUGAGGCACGAAAGCGUGGGUAGCGAACAGGAUUAGAUACCCGUGUAGUCC
rnacentral:rRNA from 1 species